rnacentral:rRNA from 1 species
CCUACGGGGAGCAGCAGUGAGGAAUAUUGGUCAAUGGACGAGAGUCUGAACCAGCCAAGUAGCGUGAAGGAUGACUGCCCUAUGGGUUGUAAACUUCUUUUAUAUGGGAAUAAAAUGUUCCACGUGUGGGAUUUUGUAUGUACCAUAUGAGUAAGGAUCGGCUAACUCCGUGCCAGCAGCCGCGGUAAUACGGAGGAUCCGAGCGUUAUCCGGAUUUAUUGGGUUUAAAGGGAGCGUAGGUGGAUUGUUAAGUCAGUUGUGAAAGUUUGCGGCUCAACCGUAAAAUUGCAGUUGAAACUGGCAGUCUUGAGUACAGUAGAGGUGGGCGGAAUUCGUGGUGUAGCGGUGAAAUGCUUAGAUAUCACGAAGAACUCCGAUUGCGAAGGCAGUUCACUGGACUGCAACUGACACUGAGGCUCGAAAGUGUGGGUAUCAAACAGGAUUAGAUACCCGUGUAGUC